GAUGUGCUAGUUAAUUUAUAUCAUUAGCUUGUCAAGCUAAAGUUACCUCUGGGUGCACAUCU
rnacentral:tRNA from 1 species